GACGAACCGUGCGAACGUUGUUCGGAAUCACUGGGCCUAAAGGGCGCGUAGGCGGCUUUUCAAGUCAGGGGUGAAAUCCGGCAGCUCAACUGUCGAAGUGCCCUUGAUACUGAUGAGCUCGAGGGAGGUAGGGGUCUGUGGAACUUCCGGUGGAGCGGUGAAAUGCGUUGAUAUCGGAAGGAACGCCGGUGGCGAAAGCGACGGACUGGACCUCUUCUGACGCUGAGGCGCGAAAGCCAGGGGAGCAAACGGG
rnacentral:rRNA from 1 species